GAGGUAACUGGAGAGGUGUGAUGAACCUGGGAUGCUUCACGUCUCCUCGACGGCAUCGAUAAAAGAGGGGAACACCUUGACAGGACCGCAGACGAGUCGCCGGAGACGCAACUGUGCGCGCGGCACCGGACGGACGAGCCAACACACCGUAUAGGAAUGUGUGCAGUUACAGGCAAACACACACGCUCGGACAUUACUCAGUUUAGUGCUCUCCGCCGUGUUUGAGUCCUCUUUCAGAAAUAAUUGGAAAUACGGGGCCACACACUGCUGCGCCCCCGAUGGGAACCCAUAAUUGGAGGCGAGCCAGUGACGCGCUGAAAAUAACCAGGUUACCACUUAGCACCGGUCCAUUUUGGGGAGGGCCCAGCAGCACGAGGGCGCAGCACCAUAUAUCAGCUCCUUCCAGCUGUUUGGGAAUAUCCUGCUCACCAUGUCGAGGCUGCAGCAUGGCAGCAGCAGCAGCAGCAGCAGACUUGCUGUCUCAUUUCGCCUCCGUGUCCGUCUUCCCGGGUGUCUCGCUCCAGAAUGGAUAUUGGGUGACUCGGUGCUCGGGGCGCACCGGGGAGAUCUCUCGGAGGGGGACGCAGAAGCUUGGGAGGGCGAGACUGGCACAAGGCGCGACACUGUUGCGUCUACACGUUUCCCCCCCUCCUUGGGCAGACGGGGGAAAGAUAGGCCAGGGGGACUGUCCGACUUAUUCCCAAAGACAAUUUGUCCCCCACCCCCACCCCGAAGGGAUAAUCGUGCUCAAUUUAGGAUGCGUGCAACGUGAAGUGAUCAGAUGUAACUGGGGCGGCAGUGGUGGCUGGUGGACGGUGAAGUUCAACUUCGCUUGCAGACGCGACCUCCUCCUCCUCCUCCUCCUCCAAGCAGCCGGACGAGCGAGCAGUCACUCGGCGCCUUUUACGCGAGGUCCCCAUGUGGCUACGGGAUGCUGACACCUGCAACACCGACUUGUGCAUCACCUACUUCUUCAGACACGGACAGAGAGAGCGUGUCGAGUGGCUGGUGCUCAGCCGCCAUCGCUCCCUCAUGCACCAGCUGAACGGCAACCAGCCUCGCUGUCACCAAGCGAGAACAGAGAGGAGAUAGAGAUCAGGGUGAGCCGGGGGUCAAAUUAACACGAGAGAGGGGUCCACAGCCGGGUGCACCGCAGCUCGUCCCCCUCAGGGCGUCAUGAGGGGCGAAUGACAAUAAGUGAGUUUUUCAACUCUCUUAUCAAAGCGGAAUCCAUUCCGGUUAAGUGUCGAGUCACACGCCAUGUCUCCGCUCUCAGUCACCUGGCUUUCUGAAGAUUCUGCGUGACCGAUGAGUGCAUGUUGAAAAAAAAGCUAUGCCAUCAUCUGCCAAAGUCAUCUGAAUUCCGAGCCCACCAGACGAGCCCAAUUCAGCUUCAAGUGUCAUUCUGGGUGUAAGAGGAUAGAGCUUGAGUUUGGCUUUUAGUGGCUACAGCAGUGUCUAGAAAUGCUGGAGCGUGGGAUGCAAGAGAGGCUUGGUUUUCAUUUUAAAGAAAAGGGAAGUAUUAUUGAUGUAAAUAUUGAGAUAUUGUGAAACAGGAUUUUUACUUGAGUCCUUCUGCUUAUUUUGUGGUUUUAACUGUCAGGAAGUCAGUGCGGGUCUCUCUGCUCGUGCUUUAAAAUUACUCACAUUCACUCGAAGUAAAUUUUCAUGGAUAUGAUCAUUUUGCUGACGCUUUUGUCCAGCGUUUACAAUAAUCAGUGACAUACCAGAGGUAGGCAGGUAGCAUUAUGGCCUUGCCUAAGGGCCCACACUGGAUUUCUUAGCCAAGUGAUGUUUUAAGUUCAGAGCUGGUUCAUUGCUACGUAAAUCCGCCUCAACAGUGAUAAUUGUGGCACUACACUGAGCCUGUGGAUGGCAAAGUCAUACUGAGUGAUGGCAAGACAUAGAAUGGAAAUGAUUCUACUGGCACGACAUGUGGCGUGGCUUCUUUUGGUCUGUUCGGGACUCGGCUGAACCUGUAGAUUCCUCGGAUAUGGGGUGGUGCUGGUGAAUUAAGCGUUCAACGUGACUCCAUGACGGAGAGUGACUUCGAACAACUUCACCCUGGUCUGCGUCAUACUGUCUGUGUGUGUGUGUGUGUGUUACAUGUAUCCUGUACACCUGUCACAAAGACUUGGUGGUGCGCAACAACCUCUGUGAACAAAAAGGAAAAACGGUGGUGAUGAGUAAACCGUGUUGGCAUGACUCAACAGGUGAAAGAGGCGCACCCAUUAGACAAGUUCAGCCCCCCCAACCCCCCUCUCCUCUUACCAGUGGCAGCACAGUCCCAGAUCUCUCUCUAACAGUGGCUGCCAUUAAGGUGUCUGUUGACAGUUCUCCAACACCAGAAGAAAUACUCAAAUCCAGAGCAAACACUGCAGACAAAAGGGGAGAGGGCAAGAGAAGCCUGGAGCAGACCUUCCCUGUGUGGAUCUCUCCAGCACCCAUCUUUUAAAAAAAUGAGAGUGAACCUCCCUGACCUGCUUUGAGCCAAUCAGCCUGUGAAACCUGGCUCUGGUAUGACGAGAGUAAACAGAGGAGAGCGUAAUCUGCUAUCGCAUAUCUGCUAUGGUUUUCCCCCGCUUACUAAUCACCCAAAUGGGAUACAGUUGUUGCUGUCUACUGCCUUUGUGGAUCUGCUGGAGUCGCUCAGACUGGAGGCCUCGUUAUAACGGUCAGCGUUUACUAGGUGAGAACUUUCAAUAAUGUCAAAAUAGGUUGCAUCGCACUGUCAAGUUAUCAUGUGACGGUAACUGCCAGGUGUAACUGUUGUUAAACUGACUGAAUUGACUGGUUGAAAAACUCACAAACAACAAAAUAUCAUGUUAGAAGAGCAGCACAGAUUGUGUGUAGGUCACCGGCACAGCGGCUCAGGAGGUCGUUCCCUAACCUCCACAUGCCGAAGAGUCCCUGGGCAAGACACUGAAGGCUCAAUUGCCCCAGGCAGCUAUUCCGUCAGAGUAUGAAUGUCAACCUGUGGUACAAAAGGCGCAGCACAUAGUACUGUAUCAAUGUGUGUGUGUGUGUGUGUGAAUGGGACUUGUAGUGGUAGCUAAAGCUAGAAAAAUGUUGUAUAAAAACAGUCCAUAAACCGUAAUCACUGCUAUGUGCUUAAAAUAGAAGGAAAGACUGAAGGCACCAUUAAAUGGCCCAUGUAGACAGCUGGAUGGAUCAAAAUAGGAGCACAUCUGUUUCAUCAGACGUGCAAGACAGAUGUGGCUGAAAUGCGUCCUUUGUAGACCGUAAAUGUCCAAGUAUCUUAUGAGAAUAAUCUGAUAUUUCGCACUUGUUUCAAACUACAUGAAUACUGUUAACUCUGAAACACGCGUAUCCCCUCCGUGUUUGCACAUAAAACAAAGAAUUAUACCUAUAUUUCCAAAGUAUUGGCAGUUAAGCUUAAUAUAUCCUUUGACUCCCCUCAUGCGUGAGCCUGUGAUGCUACAGUGACUUUUUAAUGACAUCGAUUUUGAUCUGAAGUCUCUCAUAGCUAAGUUUUAAUGGUGUAACUUAACUAAAAGUUAGGUAGAACUUACAGCCGGUGCAACACAGUCCUGGUCCUGUCACAAUCUGUUUAAUGUAAGAGAUCCAAUUAUUGAUUCCGGCAUCAGGGAAUAUAAUCUGGAGAAAAACUAAUUGGAGUUGCUCCUUCUCACAGGAUCUGGCAGAAGUAUGCCUGGAAUUGUAAACAAAUGAAAAUAACAGGGCAGAAAGUUUAGAUGAUAGUCAGAGUGAAAGGUUAAACUAAACGCCGAACAUAGCUCCAAAAGGAUUUCAGCUAUAGGUGAAGGAAGCAUGUCUCUGUCAGUCACAAACACAUCGAAUGAGAUCUCAGACUCAGACAUGUGCACACACAAAUGUGUACUCAGCGAAAACAUGCACACACAGAUGCACGCAGCCAGACACAUUAACCCACAAACUCUGACCUCAGCUUUUUUGUGCACCGUAUGCUUUUCAUAGGGAAUGUCAAACCGCUCACAGGUAUUGAACUUUUCCACACCGGGCUAUGUUCAGUUCAAUCGGCAGCCACUGUUUGUGCUUGUGAUUAUGUUUGUGUAUACAUAAGCAUAGGGCCAUUUCAUAGUUACACUGCGGGUAUUUGUAUUUGUGCAAAUCUCCUUUAGAAUGAGGAGAAAUGCAACCCUCGUAGUUGAGAGGUGCAACAUCGACCUCAGCUUGAUUUCAGUCUAAAUCUGUGGGGAGGUCAUUCUUCUACACUUUUCCCUCCUUGCUCUGUCGGGUUCCUGUUCUAUUCUGGCUAUCUGGGGUCCACAGUGCACGUUGGCAGACCUCGUCGGUACUUUCUUUUUUUUCGCAUUGCAAAAUCUGUUGGAAGCUGGACUCGGCUCAGCGUUUGUGUGCCCCGCGUUGAGCAACAACCAGCUCCGCGGGGCGAUUGGCAGAUGUCUGUUUGAUGCCGCGGAUACAGUCAUGCCAUUGUGUGGAGUCAGCAAGUGAAUGUGUUUACGUGUGUGCAUGUAUAGAAGGGGUGAGGAAAAGUGGAUGUUUGUUUUGGCCCAAAGAGCAUUCGCCAGAGAAGCGGCUCCUCCUGCCAAAUCUUAUCAAACACACCUGCGCUGCCGAGUGUUUUAUCUCUGCAACCUCUUCAGCACUCGUAAUGGGACGGUGGCCAUUUUACUCCCCACGCCCGGCUCUUCAUAGCUGUGGUGUUUUUGAAAAUACAAAACAGACAGCAGUGGAGGUAAGCCACUGUUUCCCCAAAAUGUCUGUGUAACAUUUGUAGUUAACAAGGGGAUGAGGUCAACAUUUUUCAGCUCACAUUUUUCAGCUAAUCAGUGGCAUGAGAGAGCCUCAUGGUUGCUCUGAUGUUUUCUCCUACUCGCUGUGGCUCACUUGAAGUCCUAUUGUCUGGCCCGAGCCAACAUCCUCCAGUCCAGAGGGCCUCUGUGCCAAGCUUGGCUCUGAGGAUAUUACAAAAAGGGAAAAAGCCAUCUUCCACAAAAACCCUCUUCCAUUACAGGGAAGAGGUUUUCCCCUUCUAUCGAAACUGUCAAUGGAAGUCAUUCAAGCCACUUGGAAAACAUCAAUUGCUGCUGCUUUUUUCCCCCUCGGUCUUUAUGUUGGCAAAAAUGCUCAGUCACGGGGGCAGCAGGAUCCUUCAUAGUUGGUUUGCGGAAGAAAGGGAAAUUGUUUGUGUGCAUGUGUUUUCAUAUCCUUGAUUCUCUUCGGUGUUGUAUGCACGUACUGACGAUCUGCAGAGCACAUGUACAGCUGACAUGUCUGUGAAAUAUCAGCGUCGAUGUUGGUUUUGUCAGUGUAAGCUUUGUAACUGAUGUGGACACGGAUACAUUGCCUAAGUGCGAUUGGAGUAUAGUUUGCCGAAUUAGGAGCUGUUUUAUGUUGGCAGAAGAGGAUAGGAGCAACAAUGUGACAGACAGGCCCGAGGCGACUUUAAACCCAGCAAUGUGACUUCUUGGAGCUUCCUCCUCAUUCCUUGGGCAUAAGAACAUUUGCCUGAAUCCAAAAACAACAGUUUUGGAAAUAUCUUACAUCUGCAUCCCAAAUAUUCAGAUGUGAUUCCAUGACACUCUUAUUCGGGUUGACAGUGUUUUAUUUUUCUGCCUUCGUGCCUCUUCGUGUUUUCUUGUCAUACUUGGCUGUUUUUGUAUUGACUCAUCUCCUCUGCAUAAAGCUUGGGUUAUUUUGGGUAGUGUGGAUGUGGGAAUGAAAAAAAACAUCUACCACACAUACAGUAUGACUACAUGCAGGAGCAGUUUAUACAUUUUAAUGGCAUUAUAUGCCAGAUUAAUGGUGAAGAGGUGAGAAGAAUUCAGAUGAGAAGAUUAAAACCACUCACUGUCGUAUUUGUCAGGUAAACACAAAGCUACUGCGAUCAGUCUCUUACCCUUAAGAGUGGAAAGAGGGGGAAACAGCCAGCCUGGCACCACUUCCAAAGUAGACCGGUUAACAUGUUAUAUCUCAUUUGUUUCAUCUGUACAAACACAGACGUGUAAAAAAACACCACUUUAUGGUUUCACAGAGGCGUAUAUAUACCAUGUCUUGGUCAGGCCCAUUCAUUUCCUGGUGUCUUGCUGUCACCAUGAGGUUGGGAGGCAAUCAUCACCCAGCCAAGAAAUAGUCCAGCUCAUAAUAAUCCCUGUAAAACCACAACUUGUCAUUUUUACGUUUUUGAUUUUUGUACCAAUUUCACAACCAAGAUGUAGAUGCGAUGUGUUUUCUCGUGGUCUUUGGAGAUGCUUGUACAAUGGAUUUUGUUAGCGUUGGGCAGCGCCAUGCCAGCUAUCUCUUUGGUUCCAGUCUCAAGCCAAGCUAAGGUCACAAACUGUUGGCUCUUACUACUUUUUAAUGCUACAUUUACUGUAUAGACACGAGAGUGGCCUCAAUCUACUCUUUGCAAAAGUUGAAUAAGUGUUCUUCCUAAAAUGGUUCAAUGCAUGCUUCAGACAAACUAGUUUGUCUAAACACAUCGCAGGCCAAAAGGGUUUCUUCCUGUUCCGGAUGGCGACCCUUGAAUUCAAGGUGAAAAGCCUGCUCUGUCACAGACAAGGGCAAGACACAAUGAAUUCUACAAAUGCAGAUGAAUGCACAUACUCAGACAGUGUCUCCUCAAAAGUGUUCAUGCCGCUGCAGCAGGCUGUACACGCGAAAAAGGGCCUUGAGAACCGCUGCAUUACGUUGGCCGGCGUGUUGUUGGAUUUUCAGCUCUGGAAAGUUGUAAGUUGUCAGAUGCAGCCCGCUCUCCUAAAGAUCAAGUUGGAAAUGUGUGUGUUGGAGGGCAGGGGGUUUCAGACGCUGUUCAACUUCGCUCGAGGAAUACUGAUGUCUCUAAGUGGAAACUACAACACAGGGAGUCUGUUCACAUCCUGAAAUAUUGAUACAGCGACGAAUACCUGCAUCAGAGCCCGAUCUCUCAUUCUCUCAGUUUACUCACGUCUGGUGACAUUUCAAACUCUCUGUGCGCUUAAUUGUCAAAUAGCCUCGGGCUGUAUAUAGCAAGGGGAGAAUAAAGACAUCUCAAGGCAACAUCAAGUGAGAAGAACAUUCCGCUGUUCCCAAGGCUGUAUUGGGGAUGCGUCAUCUUAAUUCGACUUUGCCCCGACAACGUCCAUCCAUCCACGUGAACCUGCAUGUGUGCACAACUAACACAGUCUGUAUGUUAAAGCUAUUUAGGAAACUUGUAAAAUGUAAAAAAAAAAUCUCCCUCAAGGAAUAAUUAAUACAAACAAAAGUAUGUGUCAUUUGCAUUUUUGUCUAAGGAAUGCAUGCAGAUUUGACCAGUGCCUACGUUUUCUCACGUAAAAUCCUCCAGUUUAGGAACCGCCACUACAAGUAUUGGUCAAAUAAAAUCAAAUUUUGAACUUAACAAACUUAACUGGAAACACAUUAUGGCCCUAGGGGAUUUUAACUCCCCCUGAAGUUGGCUUCUUAAGCAGUGCUCAACUUCCAGGCUGUGCAUCAAUCUCAAUAUGCUCCACCAUUUGAAAUAUAAGAAACUAUUUGUAAUCGGAGACCGACACUUAACCACCAACGUCUUAAAACCUCAAAGUGGCCAUUUGAUUUAUGGAGCUGCUUGCGAGUUUGCACUUGGCAUGCAGGAUGUCCUUCCAAGAUUAUAUUUGAUUUUAUAUGUUUAUUUAUUUGUCAGUUGUCAAAGCAGGUGAGAGAAGGCCAGAAAAUUUCUGACAUAUACACAGUCUAUUUGUAGGGAUGUUGUAAGCGGUCCCGGAUACUGCGUCGGUUGACUUCCACUAUGACACAGAACUAGGGAUGAAAUUAAUAAUUGUUGUGAAUGAAGGGUUGGGUCAUAUUGUUCUGAUGCAAAAAGAAUCUGAAACUUCUGAAGACGAUUUUUUCUUUUAGUUGAACUUAGGUUUUACCAAUGUCUUUAUUAUGGAAACUUUUUUGGGCCAUUUUUAAAUAUCUAUUUAUUGCAAAAGUAAAAAAAGGUAAUAAAAUGCUGUUUCUCAAGAGAGUAGCUGCAUAUUAAAUUCCCCUUGCACUGCAUAAAUCACAAAUGAUCUUUGCAAGAUCUUGAUGGGGCAGAAAAAAAAAUGCUUUAGAGUAUUAGCUUUUUUGAUAUUUUUGUUUGGAUCUAUUUAAACUCGCCAUGUGUUGCUUUCAGUCGCCUACUGAGGUGUUGCUGUGAGAGUAGUGUGUCCAACUUGUGCCUGGGAGCAGAUGAGCAUGUAGAACGGUCCGUGACGUAGCUGUAGGCAUGUUCUUUGUUAGCAAAAUAAGGUCAUUUACACAAAGAGUAGUGCACAUGUUUUCAGUGUUCAAUGGCUGAAUACAAUAUAGUAACACUUAACCUACAACAUACCAAACUAGCAGAAACUGCGACUGCAGCAGUAUCCUGGGACUCCAUUUCGGAAAUCCUGAUAUUGUUAAUUUUACAGAUAUUAUGAGCUAUGCCCCAAACGUAAAAACAAUUCUAGACAAAACAACAACUCGUUACAGAUUUGGAAAUGUGGGGCAUUUUUACAACACUUUUUUAAAAUCUCAGUCUCAUGCUGUUGCUGACAAUGAGAUAAGCAAACAUCAGCCGACAAUAUUUUAUUCUGACUGUUAUAUUAUGAGGCCUUAUUUGGGUAGAUUUUGGCAAGGCAUUGUAACACUUUUGUAGAUUCUUUGGGAGUAAUUUCAACCUCACCCUGAUCCACUAUUGGCUGUCUAAGCUGUAUGAAAAAAAAACCCCAAAAAACUCUGGCUGGCCUCAACCAAAUUCACGCUGUUGGUCUCUUUAGCGAGUAAGCACCACGACAACUGUUCUGUGCUUUGUGUGAUCUGGUGACUCGGGCUCAUGGGGUUGUGGUGUGUUGCAGGCAUCAAUAUAAUUAACUGGUCACAGUCUAGGUUUCCUGGAAGUUGACUGCAUGAGUGCUCUCUCUCUCUCUAUUUCACCUCUUUUCUUUCGUUGUGUUUUUUCCCCCCCUUACUGGCAACUGUCACACGGAACGCUGUGGAGUGGGUGUAAAUAAGAGGAUGUGCAUGCUUAAUGAACAUAAGUAAAAAAUGGCAGUGCAGCUCUGCUCACUGGACUGAAUGUCAAGGCAGCUGAAUGGCUUAAUUAAGUUUGUCUGUUCACACAGAGAAAUGAAAAGUGACAUUUGUUGUCGUGUCAGCCAGGCCGUAUCUGUUUAAUAUUACACUUUCCAUGAAAAUGUCCAAAACAUCUGCAACCAAACUCUGAGAUUUCACCCUCUGAACUCACUUGUCAAACAGAUUAACAUCUGACUAUUACUUGCCAAAAGGAUAUAAUGGGUCCAUAUUAAAUACUGACAGUCACUCCUUGUCAGCGAUAUGUACAGUGUACGGAAAAGUAAAAGGGAGGAAAAAAAACAAUACAAAAAAAAAGAAGAAGUCAGGAAUGGUCUUCUACUCUCAGAUUUACAACCAUGGGGUCAGCGGUGGAAGUGGAGCUGGGGCAGAGUGGUGCAGAGCUCUCCUCCUUCCUCGUGGCUUCCUUCACAUCCCAAGCUCCCACCCAAUUUUUAAAAAACUUUUUGUUACUGUAUAUGGGUCAUACUGCGAAUUGUGUGUACAUGCAGUCGAACAGAGUUCUCCCUUCCAAUGAGCAUGUUGAAAGAAGGACACAAACCCGUUACUUAUAAGUAAAAGUAGCAACACAGAGGAACAAUGGUACAUUGAAAGUAAAGGUCAUGCUUUUAAACCUACUACACUUAAACGUGUGUCAGUGACGCAUCUAAAUGUUCUUUGCAGCCGUUCUGACAGUCGGCACCUUCCAGAAUUUAAGAUUAUUUAUUCAUUAUCCCUUAAGAAGUUCCUCUGAAUACAGUAUUUGUGUUCGAUUGAAUCAUAGACUGCAUCAUGUCAUGUUUUAUGAACCAUUAGUCUGUUCUCAUUAAAACCCUUUUUGCCGCCCUGUAAAUUAUAGACCUCGUGAUGGCAUUGAAAAAGUUAAUACAAAGUCUACAUUGUGUGUGAUUAAGUGUACUUUGUUAUGCUCAACUUCUGCUCUUUUCACAACUGUUAUCUGUGUGCAUGUAUGUGCUGAUGCAUGAAUAGCCCCAGCCUUGAGUAAUCAUUUACAGCAUAGAAUCUAUACGGAACACUUUGUUUAAGGAACCUCCCCAUGUGGUGAAGUACCUUCCUUCAGUAUGGAAGAAGCACUGGUUAGAGGGAUAGAAAAAAUAAGUGAAAUUGUUUAAAAUUCAUUGUUACAGCAACUUUGUCGUAACAAACUGGACCAAAGUGCCAGCAAGUAUUUCACCAGCAAGAGAAAAAAAAGUGAUUCUGUAAUAAAAUAUAUUUGGAUUUAUUAGUCCCAAAGAAUUGUUCUGAAUCCCGAAUCUUUGUUCCCCGCAUGAGAAGUGACUACAAUCUCUGUCCACGCAGGAUGUUUUUGAUGAAGCAGUGGGCUUAAUUUAGGUCCAAGCAUUCUCAGUAUCUGUCACCUAACUCCCAAUGAUCUCAACACACAGCACUGGAGGCGUGCAUGUGUGUGUGCUCAUGUUUAUCCACCCAGGCGAGUAAUAAAUUCAAGAAAUGUACACCGACACUUUUGCCAUCCUAUAAAGAUGGUUGAGACAUGCCCAUCCUCCUUUUUACUUGGUGAACCAAAAAUAAUAAUUAUAAUUGCAGCUUUACUACAGACUAUAGUGAUAUGGUUUCUUUUUUACAUGAUUUUAUUAUGAAUUAUUAAUACUGGCUAUUUAUGCCAAACGCUGAAAGUCUUGAUUUCUUCCAUUAAAGGAAGGGGCUUAGUUAUAGCUCCUACUUGGCCAUAAAAUAACCAAACAGGCACAGGCAUUGCCAGCAAACCCCUGCCAAAGACUUCAGCUUGCACCCAGUGUUCUCUUCCUAAGACAUAAAGACAUUUUUCUGCCCAUUUCUUUCAAUUACACAAUUUUUCUGCCUGCCUGCAUGAAAAAAACCCCAAAACAAAAAAUCUGUUGUAAAGCAGCUGCAUGCUACAUGGUGUGAUAACGUGAAUCUACAUCUUCUGGUCGCGUCCGUUGGGCCUGACAUGUUGGACAUUUUUUGAUGAGUGCAUGCACACGCUGAAAGGAACAAUGUGGUUUUUGAAAGAGAAUCCCGUGAUGUUCUGACCUCGAGCUUGUCGUCAAUUUUAAUGUUGCAUUAAAAUGAACGUGCUCGGACUCGUCAAGUGACCGCACAGAGUAGAGGCGUGUGGUCGUCAUGCAUCCAUAACGAAUGGAAAGAAAAGGAAGACCACACAGAGCCAUGGUCAGAUCAGGUUGACAGAGACCAUAUUUAAAUCUGGGUCAGAGUCCAGGCUAUAACCUCUCUCUCCACUCCCUCAUCUACACCCCAUUCCUCCUUCACCCAAUCCCACUUACCCCCUCUUUGUCUUUUCAAUCUCCCUUUACAACUCUAUCUCAUCACCAACUCUACACAUCCACAUGUCCUUAUUUCCUCCACUCUUUCUCCUGCCUCCUUGUCUUUCUGUCUCUCCAUAUGUUGUGCUGGGCAUGUGCAUGGCCGCAGAGGGCAGCAGCUUUGCCGUCUGCCUGCGUUGAGUUUCACAUGCAGCAUUUAGGAUCUUAUUAGUCUAUCUAUAUAUUAAUAAGAUGAAGAUGAGCAUUGUAUUUGAACAAUGAAGUAAUAAUCCAAAAAUAUCAUGUUGAUAAUUACGAAUUAUUGAGAGUACAAUGGUGGAUUUUUAACCAUUGCUCUUCUCCCAUGAGGAAUUAAGAAAAUUCGAGGCGGGUGUGAGGAACAGCCGUAUGAUUCAUAUUCAGGUCCAGUGGCAGCCAGAUGACUGGGAGUUAUGAGUCUUACAAUAAGCCUAUUCAGUGGUGCUUUACAACAUUUAAGAAAAAGCAGGCGCAGCUGUUUCUGCAAUAUUUGCAGCGGACUUAAAAUUCACGUACUUCCAUAGUAUGCUAAAUGAGACAGGACGAAAAAAUUUAAAGGCCGGUUAUGGACCACUAUUGUUAAGUAAUACACCAAUGUUUUAGGUAAUAUGCUUGAUAGGCUUGAAAAGUAGAGAGUGAUCCAGGACACGUUAAGGGAAAAGGCAUCAUCUCACAAAAAACUCUAUGUUGUGUCGUAGUGAGCCAGGUACCACCACAUCCAAGAACAGCUGGCGUGUCCCGAUUCUUGUGAAUAUGCAAAGCCAGUAACUUUGAGAUAUUGCGUACAACCACUGGGCGCAACUGUUGUUAGUCAGGGAGCAUCUCCAUUGCAAUGGUUAACUGCUUGUUCAACGAAAAAUUGCCUUGGACUUUUUUAUUUCUCAACAUGGGUACACAUUUUUGGGGAAUUGCUGGUUGCAUCUUAGAUGGAGCUUGGCUUAAAGAUUGGAGUUUAAGCUUGAUUUACUAAAAGUAUCCCUUUAAGCAAUGACACCAUACGUUUACCAAUUCAGUCCUUUAAACAGUCUACAUGUCUAGUUUAUUCUUGAAGUCCUUGAUGUUUCUCUUGCUUUCAACCACAUCUCAUGGCCGUGAUUCGCUGAUGAAGUUGCUCAUUCGAGCUCCAUCCAUCCCUAACUUUGGGUGUCAAAAAGUCUGCAUAUGGUUUUGGGGGAAAUUAAAAGUAUUGUUUGUUGGAAACAUUUCAUUUAAGAUCUGAGAGGUGCCACAUUGCUACAUAUUCUCUAAGGCCGACCUGGCAGGCCUGCAGCAACUAUGGCACUGCUCUUGCUACCAUUCAUCAUGGGAAAUGUACAAAUCAACUGGCAUAACCACCGGUGCUUCUUUUCAUUUCGGUGGCUCGGAACCCUUUUGGCGAGUUAACAUGGCUGGUACCAAAACAAUAAAACAUCAUUUCAUUGUCCUGUUUUCAUUCUCGAGGCCUCCCAGUAAGGCGUUCUCUUGAAAACCUCUUCAGUGUGACAUGGAGACAUGCCGGCAGCCACCAGCGGAGCCAUGCCGAGCUCCAGAGCUGCUUUAGAGCCCUGCUGAGACCUGCCAGAGCCGCAGCUUUCCCUGCCAGGAGCCUCGGCUCGCAGUCAGAGUGAGUUACAACCUAAGGUCCUGACACACACAUGCUAAUACAGAAACACACAUACAGAGAGCUUAAAUGUGCACAUUAUAAAUGCAUGAAGAAAAAAGCAUAGAUGGAAAAGAUAGUCGAGUAUAUGCAUAUAUGCAUAUAUACAUAUCGAUACCCCAAAAACAAUGAGCCAAUAGCCUCAUCGAGACGUUUAAUACACGAGGAAGGCCACUGCAUGCAGCUAUUCAUGUCCCUAAACCUAUUUAUUCAAGUUAGCACCGCAGUGACCUCUGGAACUCACACAUACCCCACAGAGAUUGACACGGCGUAUGUAAACAGAAAAAAUGUGUGUGCCAUGUUGCACACAUGCAAUAAAGUGAGCAUGUCCUCCUACAGGAGCUCUCUGUCAGAGUUGCCGUAAGGUCAAGGUCCGGCAGCUGCUGGUUCAGCUGGAUUGAUCCGUCUGGGUAAACAUGUAAGGUGGAAAUGAGCAUGCUUGUGAUCAAGGGCUUAGCGGAAGCCGUGUGUGUGUGUGUGUGUGUGUGUGGGUGAAUAAGAGAGAGGAAGGAUCGAUAUAUGGCUGUACAUAAAGUAUAUUGUAAAUCCUGCAGACUGUGUUUGUUGAAGAGAAUUGAUCCCACAAGCUCCUCAUUCAUCGUCAAUGUGUCUUUUUCUUUACUGAAAACAGUGCAUUUAAUUGUCCGCUCUUGAUGACAAGCCUGAAGAUGAAGUGAAUAAACUGUCUGUAAUAAUUACUUGUGUCUCCCGAACUAUACUUUACCUACUAUAGUUAUGUGCUUACAUGGUUUCCAAUCAAUCAAUUUCCGCCCUUACACAUUACCUUGAUUUAAAAAAUAACAUGGGGUGUUUUUCUUAGCUUACAUAAAGCGUUACAUCGAUACAGACAGUGUUUGGUACCGACUACUAAGGAGAACAGACUGUAUUACAACAGAGCAGCAUGGUUUGUAUAAGGAAGAUACCACACCGACAGAACAACACCGAACCAUACGCAACAAAUCCCAACACCUUUGCAGUCAUUGGUUGAAAAGGCGACAUGUAGUGAUGGUAAAUACACUAUAUGAUUAAGGUGAAGUAACUGAAAAUACUUGGUUAAAGUCUGGUUAAAACCCAAACUAAUGGGUAGUUGUCAGAUGUCUGUAUUCUAUAUACAGCCUUGAUGUGAUAUCAAUGGCGGACAGCCAGGACAUUUCCUUGCGGCCUGUGGAUCAUUUCGGCCUGCAGGGAAGAGUCAACGUGAUAAUAUAGCCGGCAGGAAUGAGGCGACAGACCCCAGAAUCCAUCAGGCACAUCCCUUAUUGCAGUGACAAAAAUGACCAUGUAGCUAAGUAGUCUGCUUCUCCACCAAUAAUAUUUAGACGAAAGGUGGAAAAGCCCUUGCCACUCAAUAAAGCUGCUUUCAGACAUGCCCGAAGUCCGGACAUUUUCCAGAGUUUAUGUCUGAAAACAGCUUGAGCAACAUGUUCACCAGUGAGGGUCUAUAGUCGGUCAAAAAUACGAACUAAACGUACAAUGUUGAAGCUCAGUGAAUGUGUGUGUAUGAAGUUUUCUGAUACUCUUGGUAUGUUGGAUUUUUGAAUAUGAAUUUAAUUUGAACAAUUGAGCUUACUGGAUUUCAUCUCUCAAACUAUAGGCUAAUUGUUUGGUGUCUGGUCUUGUACAUUUGUACGUGCUAUGAUUGGUUUAUUCUGAGUGUUUUUGUUUUUUUUUAGGCAAAGCCUAAAGAGAUAGCAUAGUAUAGAAGUCGGUAUUCAGAUACCAGCCCCAUAUUUUUAUAUUCUGUAAUUUGGAUAAUUUCCCUAACAGAUGAACAUAGUGAACAGGAACAUUACUGAACUGGAAUCUUUUACAUCAACAAAUAGGGUCAGCUUACAAAAUUAAUAGUUUGGUGGUUUGCGUGAAGGCAGUGACCUGUGAUGAGUUAAAUUUCCAGCCUGAAUUAUUGUUUCAGGUCAUUCUUUAAAUCCCCAAACUUUCAACUUACACGAUAUUGGAGCGAUAAGUAUACAAUUGAUUAAUGAGACACUACAUUACAUUACAGUCCCAGAACUGUAUUAGGAAGGGGUACUAAACAGACAAAUUGUUUAGACUAUAUCUGAGAUUGUUGAAACAGUUUGUAAACUCUAUUGGUGUAUGUUUGAUCGUCGUGAUGCACAAUCUUUGUGAAGUUGCCAUUUGCUGCCGAGUGUUUUUGUUUUUACAUAGUUCUUUUUUACUCUCCUUUCCAGUAUGAUGCGCUUUUGAUGUUUCUCCUGUUCAUUUUAUUGUGUGAAAGUAAUGACUGCAUGUUUUGUGGUUUAAUUUGAUAAUUUUUGUCCAUUUUUUGUGUGAAAUGUAUGUAAAAUUCAAUAAAAUUAUUAUAUUGGAAAAAAAGCAUUACAGUGCACGUGUGGAUACAUGUCCGUGUCCGAUCUGGAGUUAAUCAGGGCGUAGAUGUUUCAGUGACACUCUUGUCACUAUGCAAUAAACUACAGUGGACUGUGCUAUCUGCUGCUAUGACACGUAAUAUAUAUACAAAUUAUAUAUAUAUUGUUUUUAACUGUGAUAUACUGUGUGUACAAUAUGCUAUUUCAAACUAAACUCUUAACAACUUAGCUGCAUCUGGACACAACCAUAUUCAGCACUCACAUGUGGGCUGAAAAAAAGUUUUAGUGCGGUUCCGUGCAAAUGUAUCUCACAGAGGUGAUAUACUGUGUGCACAUGAGCAGCUAUAAGGCUUGUGUCUACAUUAGUCCCAGGAAUGUUAAUGUGAUGUAAUAGUGAUGUGGGUGUGGAGAAAGAGUCCCCUAGAGCUGAGUUAGGGUCUUAAAGUAAUAAAAAGCCUUGACCCGGACCCUGCACACCCACUCACAGGGACACAGCACCUCUCUUCCAGCCCAGCACAUGCUUUCAUACUUUGGCUAUGCAGCAAGGGAACAUGCACAUGGACACACCCACAAACACAGACUCAAGAAAGACAAGAAAAGGAUAUGAACCCAAAUAACAAACAUAUGUUUCACUUAGGAGGAUGAGCACAAAAUGUACCCAGUCACAAAUGUCAACGCGUUGGCUCUCCCUCGCCCCAAACAAACGCAUGCACACAACUGAACACAUCCCCGUUGUCUUGUGUUGUUCGUCAUGCAACAAGGAGCACAUGACUUAAAUCGGGUGUGGUGCAUGACCUGUUAUCAGACAAAAGCAUCCCACAGAGAGAGCUGAUGGGGGAGACUGUGCCUCCCCCCCUGUCCUGUCUGUCGGCAGUCAUGAGGUCUCCAUCCCGUUCGCCAUGCCGUGUCUCGUGGUUCAAAGCCCAUAAAAUGUUUGAGCUAAAAAAUCCCCCGCUCUUAAAACAUUCAGGCAUGGCGGCGUGUCGUCAAUAAAUCAGCUGCACCGCCUGAGGAGAGCGGCUUUAACCAGGGGGAAGGAAUUGCUAAAGGCUUCUUUUUAAUGCAUAUUCCUCAAGAAUGAAGCCUUUGAAUAUUUUUUUUUGUCUGGUUGCAUUCUAUAAAUAUCUCACCUAGAGGGCCUGAUGUCUUGGAUUGAGAACGGUUGGUUUGUAUUUCCUGCAUUAAAGGGGUAGUAAGCGAUUUUAAACCAAUACACAUUUAACAAAAAAAAAGUUUCUUUCAGCGCAGGCCUGGCUCUGUAAAUCGUAAAAACUUCAAAAUGGUGUGGACUGUACCUCACAGUGUGUGCAGUUUGUUAAAAUUAUUAAAGACUUGCUAGCGAAUUAAGCUACGACUCAGGGGGGUUUUGGUUUUGUGGUUAGCACGUCAGUGGCUGCGGGUUCAAGGCCUGGUCAGUUAAAGUCCUCAUCAACAACAACAAAGAGACAAACAAGCUUUCUCCAAAAUCACCUACUGUCCCUUUAAGCCCCUAUAUGCUUUGUGGUCAUGCAAAGUUAAAUGCAAAAAUUCCAAAUACAGAAGUUGUAUCCUGUUUUAUCUCAUUUAACUGAUCUAUUUUUAGUGCCUUGUUGAUUAGUUCAUAUAAUUUGCUGUCAUAAUAAUGAUAAUAGUGCACAGAUCAUUUCUUGACCCAAGACAGUCCCGUCAAGCAAACUGGUCGUACCUAACCUUAUCUCAGUUUCAGUGACAGCACUGACUUCCCAGGAUUAAUGAUGUUUUCACGGCAACAGUUUUAGAGCCUAAUAAAUUCUUAGGCAAAUACUAUAUAUUUUUAUGUUGCAUGCAAGGUUUCAUAGGCAGGCAGUUAAAAUGCUUCUGCAAGUGUUAAAAUGGUUAGUAGAGCAAUUUCCACCAUAAGUGAAAAGGUACCAAAUAAAAAUGAGUGAAAAAUGAGGUGGGGGAGAAGAAAAAGGACGUGACUUACAAAAGUUUAUUACUGAACAACCCCUCUUUGAUAGGGUUGAUAACCGAUAAAGGUUGGCAAAGUGUAACAAAAAGGGUGAAAUCAAAUUCAGCAUACAAAAAGAAGUGUGUGUCUGUGUGUGUGUAUAAUAGC